UAGGGAUAUAGUAUAAUGGUAGUACAACGGUCUCCAAAACCGUUGGUGCGGGUUCAACUCCUGCUAUCCCUGU
rnacentral:tRNA from 1 species